rnacentral:rRNA from 1 species
CACGUAGGAGCCAAGCGUUAUCCGAAUUCACUGGGCGUAAAGCGCGUGCAGGCGGCUCAGUAAGUUGGAUGUGAAAUCUCCUGGCUCAACUGGGAGAGGACGUUCAAUACUGUUGGGCUAGAGGGCAGCAGAGGGAGGUGGAAUUCCCGGUGUAGUGGUGAAAUGCGUAGAUAUCGGGAGGAACACCAGUGGCGAAAGCGGCCUCCUGGGCUGCACCUGACGCUCAGACGCGAAAGCUAGGGGAGCGAACGGG